rnacentral:rRNA from 1 species
AUGCAUAUCAAUAAGCGGAGGAAAAGAAACUAACAAGGAUUCCCCUAGUAACGGCGAGUGAAGAGGGAAGAGCUCAAAUUUGAAAGCUGGUACCUUCGGUAUCCGCGUUGUAACCUCGAGACACGUUUUCCGUGCGGCGCUAUGGACAAGUUCCUUGGAACAGGACAUCGUAGAGGGUGAAAAUCCCGUACUUGCCAUGGAUGUACCGUGCUUUGCGAUACGUGCUCUAAGAGUCGAGUUGUUUGGGAUUGCAGCUCAAAAUGGGUGGUAGACUCCAUCUAAAGCUAAAUAUCGGGGAGAGACCGAUAGCGAACAAGUACCGUGAGGGAAAGAUGAAAAGCACUUUGGAAAGAGAGUUAAAAGUACGUGAAAUUGUCGAAAGGGAAGCGCUUGAAGUCAGCCAUGCCGCUCAGGACUCAGCCUGGCUUUUGCUUGGUGUAUUUCCUGGGUAGCAAGUCAGCAUUGGUUUGGAUCGUCGGAGAAGCAUAGUCGGAAUGUGGCGCCCUCGGGCGUGUUAUAGCCUUCUAUUGGAUACGACGAUCUAGACCAAGGAACGCAGCGCGCCUUAUGGCGGGUCUUCGGACACCUUCGCGCUUAGGAUGCUGGCGU